rnacentral:rRNA from 1 species
AUUGAACGCUGGCGGCAGGCCUAACACAUGCAAGUCGAACGGUAACAGGAAGAAGCUUGCUUCUUUGCUGACGAGUGGCGGACGGGUGAGUAAUGUCUGGGAAACUGCCUGAUGGAGGGGGAUAACUACUGGAAACGGUAGCUAAUACCGCAUAACGUCGCAAGACCAAAGAGGGGGACCUUCGGGCCUCUUGCCAUCGGAUGUGCCCAGAUGGGAUUAGCUAGUAGGUGGGGUAACGGCUCACCUAGGCGACGAUCCCUAGCUGGUCUGAGAGGAUGACCAGCCACACUGGAACUGAGACACGCUCCAGACUCCUACGGGAGGCAGCAGUGGGGAAUAUUGCACAAUGGGCGCAAGCCUGAUGCAGCCAUGCCGCGUGUAUGAAGAAGGCCUUCGGGUUGUAAAGUACUUUCAGCGGGGAGGAAGGGAGUAAAGUUAAUACCUUUGCUCAUUGACGUUACCCGCAGAAGAAGCACCGGCCAACUCCGUG